rnacentral:lncRNA from 1 species
GCCACAUGUGUGGCCAGGGUUCACUUGGGACAGGAGAGCCUGGGCACCACCACGGCGGGAGGAAGAAGGGAAUCCCCAAGCCUUGGGAACAACUGCUGGGGACCUCAUAGCCUGCUUCCCCAUCAGGAGUUGCACACAGCAAUGGGUGAUGUCACAAAGGAGAGAUACCAAGGCCAAGGGAGAGGACCCCAGCGGAUGCCAAGCUGGGUUCAACAUGGUGAGACUCAGAAGCUCCCCCAGGUGUGCUGCUCCAACUCCCGGUGCCUUUCCCUGCCUGGUGGCCAACAGCAAGCCCAGGUGACUUCCUGCUGCAUCUCAGAAUUGAAAAGUUAGGGGACAAUGCUCUUGAUUGACCUGAUUGGCCUCUUUCCAACGACCAUUUCAAGGGACUAAUAACUGGUAGAGAUCCUGCAAAACUUUGGGCCAGCACAAUCCAACAGGAAGCUGAGACUGUGAGGAGGAAGCAGGAAGUUCCUUAAUCAGACAGUGCGGAGUGGACUAGACAGGAGCC